CCUACGGGUGACUGCAGUGAGGAAUAUUGGUCAAUGGGCGCAAGCCUGAACCAGCCAAGUCGCGUGAGGGAUGACGGUCCUAUGGAUUGUAAACCUCUUUUGUCGGGGAGCAAGGCCCGCCACGUGUGGCGGGAAGGAGAGUACCCGAAGAAAAAGCAUCGGCUAACUCCGUGCCAGCAGCCGCGGUAAUACGUAGGAGGCGAGCGUUAUCCGGAAUGACUGGGCGUAAAGGGUGCGUAGGUGGUUUGGCAAGUUAGUAGCGUAACUCCAAGGCUCAACCUUGGAACUACUACUAAAACUGUUGGACUUGAGUGCAGGAGGGGCAACCGGAAUUCCUAGUGUAGCGGUGGAAUGCGUAGAUAUUAGGAGGAACACCAGUGGCGAAGGCGGGUUGCUAGACUGUAACUGACACUGAGGCACGAAAGCGUGGGGAGCAAACAGGAUGAGAUACCCUUGUAGUC
rnacentral:rRNA from 1 species